rfam:Asian citrus Psyllid, Diaphorina citri - Florida Strain, whole genome shotgun sequence.
GCCGAGUUAGCUUAGUUGGUAGUGCGUCUGCCUUGUAAGCGCUAGGCCGCGGGUUCGAUUCCCGCCCGGGGCG